GGACGCUUUAUAGCAUUCCAUGUCCUCUUGAAGAAUGAGCAGAUCCUGUUCUUCACUUUCUUCCUUAGACUGACAUGGAUUUCUAAAACGAAAACGAAGAAGCAUUCACUUGGACUUUACAUUUAAUAAAUAUGUCCCAGUCUGCAGGUGACACUCCUAGAGAUGUAGACUCGAUAGAAGACACUUCGUGGUCACUACAGAAAUCCAUGCUUUCUGAAGGCCCUGCUGCUUCUAGAGCCUUGUAGGAUGUAUGGAGGGAUGUUCUGGACAUCGGAGGACUGCGGACGAUUUGGCUUUCACAAGAGGAGAUGCCGCCAACGCUCAGCAAUCCCAAACCGUCAUUACAUCCUCUGUCCUGCAUGAACAUGCGGCUGCAGCUCAUUUUUAUGCAAUGCAUGAUGUCAAAGCAUGCCUCCUCGGAGUCCGAUUCAAAGCUGUUGCGAAGUUCCAACUCAGCGGAGAAUGUGUCGCUUCUGGGCCUGUGAGGGUCGUCAGGGACAUUUUCACUCUCGGAUGAAGUAAAUGACAUGAUGUCCGGUAGAACAGUCAAAAACACUAUCUCUGUAGAUCGUGAAAAGACUUUGAAUAGCUACUUAUUGUAGAUUACAAGUCGCUUUGAGAUAACGCAUCAACCAAACGCAUAAACAAAUGCAAACUUUCUCUCGUUGUCUAGCACCGAAGCGCUGUGACGUAUUGGAAUGUCAGUGGAAACAAACUGAAAUUCAAAUAAUGCGAAUUUUAAAACAGCGCUUUAUUACGCCCUUUAAAUAAAGACGCAUUUUAUUUUCAUA